rnacentral:antisense_RNA from 1 species
AGUCAUGGCGGUCGUGCGCGGGCACGUUUCGACGUGGCCGGUUACCCUGGGACCCGGUUCCUACCCCGCGCAUGGCUGCCACCCAG